rnacentral:rRNA from 1 species
UACGGAGGAUGCAAGCGUUAUCCGGAAUUAUUGGGCGUAAAGCGCACGUAGGCGGCUUUGUAAGUCAGAGGUGAAAGCCUGGAGCUCAACUCCAGAACUGCCUUUGAGACUGCAUCGCUCGAAUCCGGGAGAGGUGAGUGGAAUUCCGAGUGUAGAGGUGAAAUUCGUAGAUAUUCGGAAGAACACCAGUGGCGAAGGCGGCUCACUGGACCGGUAUUGACGCUGAGGUGCGAAAGCGUGGGGAGCAAACAGG